rnacentral:rRNA from 1 species
ACAAUGAAGAGUUUGAUCCUGGCUCAGGAUGAACGCUAGCUACAGGCUUAACACAUGCAAGUCGAGGGGCAUCAGGAAGAAAGCUUGCUUUCUUUGCUGGCGACCGGCGCACGGGUGAGUAACACGUAUCCAACCUGCCCUUUACUCGGGGAUAGCCUUUCGAAAGAAAGAUUAAUACCCGAUAGCAUAAUGAUUCCGCAUGGUUUCAUUAUUAAAGGAUUCCGGUAGAGGAUGGGGAUGCGUUCCAUUAGGUUGUUGGUGAGGUAACGGCUCACCAAGCCUUCGAUGGAUAGGGGUUCUGAGAGGAAGGUCCCCCACAUUGGAACUGAGACACGGUCCAAACUCCUACGGGAGGCAGCAGUGAGGAAUAUUGGUCAAUGGGCGCUAGCCUGAACCAGCCAAGUAGCGUGAAGGAUGAAGGCUCUAUGGGUCGUAAACUUCUUUUAUAUAAGAAUAAAGUGCAGUAUGUAUACUGUUUUGUAUGUAUUAUAUGAAUAAGGAUCGGCUAACUCCGUGCCAGCAGCCGCGGUAAUACGGAGGAUCCGAGCGUUAUCCGGAUUUAUUGGGUUUAAAGGGAGCGUAGGUGGACUGGUAAGUCAGUUGUGAAAGUUUGCGGCUCAACCGUAAAAUUGCAGUUGAUACUGUCAGUCUUGAGUACAGUAGAGGUGGGCGGAAUUCGUGGUGUAGCGGUGAAAUGCUUAGAUAUCACGAAGAACUCCGAUUGCGAAGGCAGCUCACUGGACUGCAACUGACACUGAUGCUCGAAAGUGUGGGUAUCAAACAGGAUUAGAUACCCUGGUAGUCCACACAGUAAACGAUGAAUACUCGCUGUUUGCGAUAUACAGUAAGCGGCCAAGCGAAAGCAUUAAGUAUUCCACCUGGGGAGUACGCCGGCAACGGUGAAACUCAAAGGAAUUGACGGGGGCCCGCACAAGCGGAGGAACAUGUGGUUUAAUUCGAUGAUACGCGAGGAACCUUACCCGGGCUUAAAUUGCAGUGGAAUGAUGUGGAAACAUGUCAGUGAGCAAUCACCGCUGUGAAGGUGCUGCAUGGUUGUCGUCAGCUCGUGCCGUGAGGUGUCGGCUUAAGUGCCAUAACGAGCGCAACCCUUAUCUUUAGUUACUAACAGGUUAUGCUGAGGACUCUAGAGAGACUGCCGUCGUAAGAUGUGAGGAAGGUGGGGAUGACGUCAAAUCAGCACGGCCCUUACGUCCGGGGCUACACACGUGUUACAAUGGGGGGUACAGAAGGCAGCUAGCGGGUGACCGUAUGCUAAUCCCAAAAGCCUCUCUCAGUUCGGAUCGAAGUCUGCAACCCGACUUCGUGAAGCUGGAUUCGCUAGUAAUCGCGCAUCAGCCACGGCGCGGUGAAUACGUUCCCGGGCCUUGUACACACCGCCCGUCAAGCCAUGGGAGCCGGGGGUACCUGAAGUACGUAACCGCAAGGAUCGUCCUAGGGUAAAACUGGUGACUGGGGCUAAGUCGUAACAAGGUAGCCGUACCGGAAGGUGCGGCUGGAACACCUCCUUU